UACAGAGGGGGCAAGCGUUGUUCGGAAUUACUGGGCGUAAAGGGCGCGUAGGCGGCCUUCUAAGUCGAACGUGAAAUCCCCGGGCUCAACCCGGGAACUGCGUCCGAUACUGGAAGGCUUGAAUCCGGGAGAGGGAUGCGGAAUUCCAGGUGUAGCGGUGAAAUGCGUAGAUAUCUGGAGGAACACCGGUGGCGAAGGCGGCAUCCUGGACCGGCAUUGACGCUGAGGCGCGAAAGCCGGGGGAGCAAACGGG
rnacentral:rRNA from 1 species